GCUGCUGCUUUCAUCUCACUUGUGAUGAGUUGGAGCAGACGGCUGAACUGGAGGCUUGUGGAUCCCAGUUGAAGCUCCAACCGUGACCGGGCUGCUGUGCAGUUCUGCUCACCCAGUAGCUAUUUCCCUGCGGCUUCAGCCCUUGUACAACAACUUCUGCAGGCCUGGGGCAUCACAUGUGCCCAAGACAGACAGACAGACUCUUGAGGUAUGCAUCACUGCUGAGUCUGGAGAGCCAAGAACACGACACUAUUUCCUGUGGCCUCAGAAAUGUUUCUUUGUUUGGAUUUUCAUCUCUUCUCUACUUCACAGAAAAUGCAGACUUCAGAGCUUUCAAAAGGUCUCCACCCACUGCAGCUCCCCACAGCACUGCAAAAGGGGACAUAGAGCAGGAGUGGAGGAGGAAGAAAAUGCAACAUAAAUGGUCAGAAGGCAAAGUCAGAAAUUCAAACUCUAAGUCCUCACCUGGUCAGGCUGGUUUGGAGGCUCUAAUUCUCCAGCAAAAUUUGGAGAGUGAUCUGGAAAGAGCUGGACAGUCCCCAGCUUAGUUGCUCUGCAGUAUGACAACAAUAUGCUCUAUGGCUGUUCAUCUGUGGGCACUGCCAGCAACUGGGGUGCACCCCUAGACUCUUGGAUGGGGCUGCAU